rnacentral:rRNA from 1 species
AUGCAGACGCGCUGCUCAAUAGAGAUUGAAGAACCCUGCCCCAUGGCCAUGACGCCGCAGCCGCCGCCGCCGCCGCCGCCGCCGCCGCCAUGGGUGAUCCAGUUCAACCGCACGAGCAAACCCGUCCUCGUCGCGCCCUUCGACGGAUGCGUCCGCUGGGACGAGACGCCGGACAUGCCGGCGCUGCAAGGGAAACGAUGCGUCGGCCGGGACGGAGACUGGUCGCUCAUGCUCGACGAGGUCACCAACGGGUGCUCCCUCGUCAACUUCGCUAAUACCUCGCCGUCGACCCCCACGGUAGUCGCUCUCCCGCCUCUGCCGGAGGACGCGCCCGAUUUAUUCUUAUGGUUCGGCUGCGCUCUCUCCACGCAAACCCCGCCCGAUUGCACCGUUUUUUUGGAUUUCGUCAGGGACAAGUCCCUUCUCUACUGCCGCCCUGGUGAUCCCGAGUGGUCCCGCCUCCCUGUGGAGCUCGCCGAGGUGAACGACAAGUUCGACGGCCCCAUAACCGCCGGCUACCAGGGGAAGGUGUACGCGACAACCAUGGCGUCCCUGGUGGCCAUUGACGCAUCCGCCCCAACACCAUCAGUCAUAAGGACGGACAUGGGACCCCCGCCGCGGUGCCCCAUGCACGCCGGGUACAAGUGCUACCCGGUGCCGUGUCCUGGCGGCGAGCUCUUUUUGGUGCGGUGCUGCAUCUUUGGCGACCCGGACGUGGUGGAUCUGAAGGUUUUCCUAUGGAAUCAGGAGGAUAAUGUGUGGGGAACUGUCGAAAGCAUCGGGGAUAGAACAUUUUUUGUGGGCAGGUGUACUUUCGCCGUCGGGGCGGUUGAAGCAGGAACCCAACCCAACUGCAUCCAUGUGCUGCGUAAAGUUUGCGAUGAAUUUGUUAUCUACACCGUGUCUCUGGAUGAUAUGACCUUUGGGCUCCGUAUAGUUGAGGGAUGUGAUGGUGAUGAAGAUGAUGAUGAGGACCAAGUAUUCUGGACUCUUCCCACGAGCUUCGGUUUGAAAGAUGUACAAGCCAUCGAUACUAUUCAUGAUGUCUCCGAUAAGGUGAUACAAAGAAGAAUUGAACAUUGUUUGGGAGAGCAAGAAAAGGAGGACAUGAUGAUGCUUAACGCGGCCUCUCCAGAGGAGAGGCAGUGGUGUGACCUCCAUACCGACUUGUCGCGGCUACUAGUAUCCAAGAUUUCAUUCAUCGAUUUCCUACAUCUGAAAGCUGUCUGCAAGCGGUGGAACUCCAUUGAAAGCCCGAUACAACAUGCAAAAGGGUUGCCAUUGCUCAUGACACCCCGCGUAGCAGGAAGGACAAAAGAUGAUCUUCUCGAGGUCUUUGAUCCGAUGAGCGAGAAGAAGUACAACAUCAGGGUAAACAUCCCUACUUCAUGUCUCCAAUCACAGGGUUCGCAGUUACUGCAUUUCACAAAGAAUGGUUGGGUCAUCGUGUCAAGAGGCGGUGACCAAAUGUACUUCCUAGUGAAUCCGUUCAAGAAUUACCCGGAUGGCAGCCAUGUGAUUGCUCUUCCACUACUAGAUAUCCUUGGCCUCAAAGGAUUAUCGUUCUCUUCCAUGCCGGGUUCUCCGGACUUUGUGGUCCUCGCCGUGGGAGCCACGCCAGACAACGAAGUUGUCUUUAUUCAAACAUGGCGAAUAGGAGACAAAGAGUGGAAGGAAGAAAUCUUACGAAAUGUUGAUGUGCCGUUCUUCAUGGCAACUCAUAGCCCCGUCUUCCUUGACGACAUCGUUUAUUUCCUAGACAUGAAUGGCAGGCUCGGAGUCGUGGACUUGAACGUGGAAAAGGUGGAGUGGAAGGUCCUUGACAAGCCAGAUCAACCGAUACGUGGAAGUGACUAUGUGUAUACAAUUCGGAAGUUGAACUAUAGCUAUCUAGCGGAGUGGAAAGGCGACCUAGUCGCCAUUAUCCGAGAAAACGGGAAUUUUGGGUUCAUCAGAAUACUUAAGCUUGAUCGGUCUAGGAUGGUUUGGACGGAUUUGGAAGAGAUGGAGGAUGCUGCCGUGUUUUGGGACAGAAGCAAUGCUCUAAUUGCGAGGCCAGCUUGCGGAAGGGAUUUAUGCAACAAGGUGUACUUUCCAAGCUGUACUAAGACUGACGAUGGUGGGCAGGCCUACUACUGCUUAAAAGAGCAAGAAUACUACCCUUUCUUUUGUGACAAGGAGCCAAUGAAUGCCAUAUGGUUCCAGCCAAACUUUUAG